rnacentral:rRNA from 1 species
UACGUAGGGGGCUAGCGUUGUCCGGAAUCAUUGAGCGUAAAGCGCGUGUAGGCGGUUCGGUAAGUCCGCUGUGAAAGUCGGGGGCUCAACCCUCGAAUGCCGGUGGAUACUGUCGGACUAGAGUACGGAAGAGGCGAGUGGAAUUCCUGGUGUAGCGGUGAAAUGCGCAGAUAUCAGGAGGAACACCAAUUGCGAAGGCAGCUCGCUGGGACGUUACUGACGCUGAGACGCGAAAGCGUGGGGAGUAAACAGG